rnacentral:rRNA from 1 species
AUGCAGAGUAAAACUCAAAAAACGGUACUCAGUUCGGAUUGAAGGCUGAAAUUCGCCUUCAUGAAGCUGGAAUUGCUAGUAAUGGCAGGUCAGCAUACUGCCGUGAAUACGUUCCCGGGCCUUGUACACACCGCCCGUCACACCAUGAGAGUUGGAAAUACCCGAAGCCUGUGAGCUAACUUAAAGGGGCAGCAGUCGAAGGUAGAGCCAAUGAUUGGGGUGAAGUCGUAACAAGGUAUC